rnacentral:rRNA from 1 species
UACGUAGGCAGCAAGCGUUGUUCGGAAUUACUGGGCGUAAAGGGUUCGUAGGUGGCUUGUUAAGUCAGACGUGAAAUCCCUCAGCUUAACUGGGGAACUGCGUCUGAGACUGAUGAGCUCGAGUGCAGGAGAGGAACGCGGAAUUCCAGGUGUAGCGGUGAAAUGCGUAGAUAUCUGGAGGAACACCGGUGGCGAAGGCGGCGUUCUGGACUGCAACUGACACUGAGGAACGAAAGCCAGGGGAGCAAACGGG